GAUGAACGCUGGCGGCGUGCCUAAUACACGCAAGUCGAGCGAACGGACGAGAAGCUUGCUUUUCUGAUGUUAGCGGCGGACGGGUGAGUAACACGUGGAUAACCUACCUAUAAGACUGGGAUAACUUCGGGAAACCGGAGCUAAUACCGCAUAAUAUUUUGAACCGCAUGGUUCAAAAGUGAAAGACGGUCUUGCUGUCACUUAUAGAUGGAUCCGCGCUGCAUUAGCUAGUUGGUAAGGUAACGGCUUACCAAGGCAACGAUGCAUAGCCGACCUGAGAGGGUGAUCGGCCACACUGGAACUGAGACACGGUCCAGACUCCUACGGGAGGCAGCAGUAGGGAAUCUUCCGCAAUGGGCGAAGGCCUGACGGAGCAACGCCGCGUGAGUGAUGAAGGUCUUCGGAUCGUAAAACUCUGUUAUUAGGGAAGAACAUAUGUGUAAGUAACUGUGCACAUCUUGACGGUACCUAAUCAGAAAGCCACGGCUAACUACGUG
rnacentral:rRNA from 1 species